ACGGGUGAGUAAUGCUUGGGAAUCUAGCUUAUGGAGGGGGAUAACUACGGGAAACUGUAGCUAAUACCGCGUAGAAUCGGGAGAUGAAAGUGUGGGACCUUCGGGCCACAUGCCAUAGGAUGAGCCCAAGUGGGAUUAGGUAGUUGGUGAGGUAAAGGCUCACCAAGCCGACGAUCUCUAGCUGGUCUGAGAGGAUGACCAGCCACACUGGGACUGAGACACGGCCCAGACUCCUACGGGAGGCAGCAGUGGGGAAUUUUGGACAAUGGGCGCAAGCCUGAUCCAGCCAUGCCGCGUGUCUGAAGAAGGCCUUCGGGUUGUAAAGGACUUUUGUCAGGGAAGAAAAGGGCGGGGUUAAUACCCCUGUCUGAUGACGGUACCUGAAGAAUAAGCACCGGCUAACUACGUGCCAGCAGCCGCGGUAAUACGUAGGGUGCGAGCGUUGUCCGGAUUUAUUGGGCGUAAAGCGAGCGCAGGCGGUUAGAUAAGUGAGGUGUGAAAGCCCCGGGCUUAACCUGGGAAUUGCAUUUCAUACUGGGUCGCUAGAGUACUUUAGGGAGGGGUAGAAUUCCACGUGUAGCGGUGAAAUGCGUAGAGAUGUGGAGGAAUACCGAAGGCGAAGGCAGCCCCUUGGGAAUGUACUGACGCUCAUGUGCGAAAGCGUGGGGAGCAAACAGGAUUAGAUACCCU
rnacentral:rRNA from 1 species